rnacentral:misc_RNA from 1 species
UCAAUUCAACAGUCUCUGCGCGCCUUCGAAACGGAUAAAGUCUUUCUUCUUUCUCUCUCACUCUUUCUGCAGAAACUGCUGAAUUGAGCGCAAAAAAAUGCUAGCAAACCCUAGCAGCCUCCAUACGGUACCUUAUUACUUACACAGUUCUCCAUUUUCGCACUUUCGUAGUCGCUGCAAGCUCUCUCUCUCCUCAAAUUGCCCUCGCUUUGUCAGUUCGCGAAAAUCCAAGCUCCCUUCACUGUCUUUGCUUUUCCCUAAUCAAAGAAGGGAUAGGUUUAGUGCAAGAGCUUUGGAAGACCCGGAAGUUUCUGAGUCAGUUACAAUCGAUGGGCCCCAACCUUUCUCUCAAGCUGUCUCUGUCAAAAUCCCCUUUGGAGAUAGACAUAUUUUGGUCGAGACAGAUCAUAUUGGGAGACAAGCUAGUGGUUCUGUGAUGGUAACAGAUGGAGAAACUAUUGUCUACACAUCUGUUUGCAUGGAUGAUGUUCCCAGUGAGCCUUCCGAUUUUUUCCCUCUUUCUGUAAAUUAUCAAGAACGCUUUUCAGCAGCAGGUCGAACUAGUGGAGGAUUUUUCAAACGAGAAGGGAGGGCAAAAGAUCAUGAGGUACUGGCCACCCCCUUCCAAGUGUAAAGAAUAUUUAACCAAGCUGAUAGCUGAAUCAAUUGCCUUUCAAUUAUUGAAUAUAUGCACUUUGUCAAUAAAACUAAAUCUAAUUUGUUACAUUCAUGGAUAUGAAUGGAGUUGUAAAGCACUUAACGUUUGAAAUUAUGGAAUCUAUCAACUGGGAGUUUAUGGUUCUUGUAUGGCAGCAAUAGUUUUGAACAUAUUUCUAUCCUUCAUAUGCUAGGUUUGUUUUGCUUCUGAAUUUGAUGGAAUGGAGUGGUCUUGAUGAUCUCCAUGCCCAGUUGCUAUGAGUUAGUGCUAUCAUUGGCUACUUUUGACCUGCUUUAUGAGUUCUGUUUACUGCUUCCAUGGCCUGCUUUGUUAUCUCCUUUAUUAAAUAGUUGUAUUCCUUGGAAUCAGCUCCUUCUUCUAUUUUUCUUUUAUCCAUUUCUUUGUAUUCUUAGUCAUUAUUCCCUUCUUUUGUAUUCUUAGUCAUUAUUCCCUUCUUUCUCCUAGUAAUGAUUUCUUUUGCUUCUUCUGUGUUGUUCUGACAAGCCACUUGAAUUGAUGAACUAGAAUUUUGUAGUUCAAGCGUGCAAACUCAAUUUAUCAGUGCGGUGGAAACAGCUGUUCCUUGGACACAGGGGAACAAGUAGAGAUAAAAGAAGUUAUCUAGUUUGAUACUUUGCUGGAGUAUAUGGCAGUUUCCCUGUCACAAUUUCAAAUCUUUCUCUUGGUUCCUUUGAAAUUAUUGUUUAUCUAUUUAUGUGUUUUUUUUCCCCCUUUUGCUGUAUCUAGGUUCUCAUUUGUAGAUUGAUUGAUAGGCCUUUGCGCCCAACUAUGCUCAAGGGUUUCUACCAUGAGACUCAGAUACUAUCUUGGGUUUUGAGCUAUGAUGGUUUGCAUUUCCCUGAUUCCUUAGCAGUUACAGCAGCUGGAAUAGCAGUGGCUCUUUCAGAAGUGCCAACUACAAAAGCAAUUGCUGGUGUUCGAGUUGGCCUUGUUGGGGAUAGGUUUAUUGUGAAUCCAACAACCAAGGACAUGGAAGAGUCAGAGCUUGAUUUAGUACUGGCUGGCACAGAGAGUGCAAUAUUGAUGAUAGAGGGUUAUUGCAAUUUCCUCCCAGAAGAAAAGUUGCUUGAAGCAGUACAAGUUGGGCAGGAUGCAGUACGGGCUAUUUGCAAUGAGGUAGAUGCAUUGGUGAAGAAGUGUGGGAAACCUAAGAUGUUUGACGCAAUCAAAUUACCCCCUUCUGAGCUAUAUAAACAUGUGGAGGAAAUUGCUGGUGACGAGUUAGUGAACGUGCUACAAAUAAGGAACAAAAUACCAAGAAGAAAGGCCCUCACAUCAUUGGAAGAAAAGGUUAUUAGUAUACUUACAGAAAAGGGAUAUGUAAGUAAGGAUGCUAGUUUUGGAACCACUGAAACAGUUGCAGAUUUGCUUGAGGAAGAAGAUGAGGAUGAGGAAGUUGUUGUGGAUGGUGAAGUAGAUGAAGGCGAUGUCCACAUAAAGCCAAUAUCACGUAAAUCCUCUCCCUUGUUGUUUUCAGAGGUAGAUGUGAAACUGGUAUUCAAAGAAGUUACUUCCAAAUUCCUGCGGAGGCGUAUUGUAGAGGGAGGAAAGAGAAGUGAUGGGCGAGACCCAGAUGGCAUACGCCCAAUUAACUCAAGGUGUGGCUUACUCCCUAGGGCCCAUGGAAGUGCUCUUUUCACCCGUGGAGAAACACAGUCGCUAGCGGUGGUCACACUCGGUGAUAAACAGAUGGCACAAAGAGUUGACAACCUUUUGGAUGUGGAUGAAUUCAAGAGGUUCUAUCUUCAGUACUCAUUUCCUCCAUCUUGUGUUGGGGAAGUAGGGCGAAUAGGAGCACCUAGUAGAAGAGAAAUUGGACAUGGAAUGCUUGCGGAGAGAGCUCUUGAACCUAUAUUGCCUUCUGAAGAUGAUUUUCCAUAUACCAUUCGAGUUGAGAGUACCAUCACUGAAAGCAAUGGCUCCUCAAGCAUGGCCUCAGUUUGUGGAGGUUGCUUGGCAUUGCAAGAUGCUGGGGUUCCGCUAAAAUGCUCAAUUGUUGGGAUAGCAAUGGGUAUGGUUUUGGAUACUGAAGAAUUUGGGGGUGAUGGAACACCACUUAUUCUAUCUGACAUAACUGGAUCUGAAGAUGCAUCUGGAGAUAUGGAUUUUAAGGUUGCUGGAAAUGAAGACAGAGUAACUGCAUUUCAGAUGGACAUAAAGGUUGGAGGAAUCACUUUACCUGUAAUGAGAAGGGCACUAUUACAGGCAAGAGAUGGCCGGAAGCAUAUUCUUGCUGAAAUGUUGAAGUGCUCACCUCCCCCUUCUAAAAGACUGUCUAAGUAUGCCCCAUUGAUUCAUAUUAUGAAGGUCCGUCCUGAGAAAGUUAAUAUGAUCAUUGGUUCUGGUGGGAAGAAGGUGAGGAGUAUUAUAGAAGAAACAGGAGUAGAGGCUAUUGACGCAGAUGAUGACGGAAUUGUAAAAAUUACAGCUAAGGAUUUGUCAAGUCUAGAGAAAUCCAAAUCCAUUAUCAGUAAUCUUACAAUGGUUCCAACCGUUGGUGAUAUUUUUAGGAAUUGUGAGAUCAAAUCAAUAGCUCCUUAUGGAGUUUUUGUUGAGAUAGCCCCAGGUCGUGAGGGACUUUGCCAUAUAAGUGAACUGACUUCGAGCUGGCUACCAAAGGCAGAAGACGCUUUUAAAGUUGGAGACCGUCUUGAUGUUAAACUUAUUGAGGUAAAUGAAAAGGGACAACUUCGCCUUAGCCGCAAGGCGCUACUUCCAGAACCAACUGUAGAGAAGCCCAGUGCAAAGCAAGAUGAAAAUGACCAAAAGACUCUGGCCUCACAAAAGGCAACUGAUAAGAGUAACCCUAGAAAAACUGUAAUUUCACCUCAGGAUGGUGUAACUGAAGAGAAGACUGAAAAACUUAAGGAUAAAACCAGUGAUGCAGUAGAGGACACUCCAGUUUCACAAAAGAAGGUUUACAAGAAGUUAGCCAGCUCUACCAGAGAUGGGCCUAAUGUUAACAAAGACAGGCCAAAAAAAAGCAACAAUAAAGUUGUCACUAGUGUUCCUACCAAAGAUGGAAAUACAUUAGUGAAUGGAGAAGUCAAAAUUGGAUAACAAGUACACCCUCUUCUUAAUUUUUGACAAAGAACUUGUUGGUCCUUGUAUUAUGGUAAAGGUGAUGGAUGAGCUGCAACUUGAAGUAAAACUGAAGUUAGUAGUUAAUUUCAACAUGCUGCAUCCAAAAGCUGGACUAAAGUUGAAGGACUAUGAUGCCAAGGAGCUCGUUCCUUUCCUGAGAGAGAAAGGCAAUGGAAUUUUCUGAAACAAUUGAUUCUUGUUACUUGAUUGAAACAAAAGAAACUCAACUUGUUUGCUGCAGAGGAAAACAUCUUACGGGGAUACAUUUGGGAUGCGUUUUUAAUUGAAGGUUUCAUGGUUUAUCCUUCUUGUAUCAUCUCCAUUCUCUCCUAAUCUCCAUCUUCUGGCUUGAGAAAUAUGUUUUGUAGUGCAUUUUUUUUUCCCUUUUCCUUUUCUAUGGUCGACGCUACUGUGUAAAUCCACUCGAAUUGAUAUUAAUUCCGCUGUCAACCACAGCUUAUCUUAAUGAUUUGAAAAGCGUCAUUCUUCUUGGAUCGACAACUAGCUAAUUCAACCUUUAUUGCUUGGGAGUUAGAUCUAAGUUCUAAUGGCACUGUGGACCUUGCACCUUCAACUUGAGAGGUUAUGAUUUGGACAAGAAACCUGGCCGCCUAUUCUGGUUCAAAGGUUUAAGAGACUCCGGAUCGGACAAUAUGGCUUUCUUGAUUUCAAUUUUGAUAUAAUUUAAUGGUUGAAUUUUUUAAUUCCUUUUAAGAAAAAAAAAUUGAU